CAAAAGAAUAUAGGAUCAACGUAGUUCCUGUGAAUCCACAUAAAGGAGCAUAAUGUUUAUAAGAGGAGAAAGAAUGGAGCAGCACUGCACCAAAAAGGAACCGAUGGACAGUGUGAUCCUUUGCUUUUCCUAAGAUUCUGCAUUGUUUAAAAAUGGAGGAAUUGAGUACAAGGUGGCCAGUGGUGGUGAGUUGUGAGUGCUCUCUCAGUUGUUUAUUUUGAAGAUUAGUGAAGCAGAGACAGACUCUACUGUCACCAUUUUAGUUAUCAUGGACUGUGUUUCCUUUGAGAAGGAAGAGAGGCAGGUAGGUGUGGGUUUUAACCACUAAUAAUGGGCACAUUUGUCCUGCCAAAAACAUCAAUACAAAUGGGGUGUAUGCAUUUCAGACUCUAAGAAACCAUUUGUUCUAUGCUUUCAGUGAAGAUCAACUAGUAGAGUGGAAUGGGAGACUGGGUAAUUAUUUUAGGUACACAUGCCUUGGUUUGAAAUUACCUAGAUAAUGUAUUUUGUGGUUGUCACUGAAACUAAAGCAAUUCUUUGAAUUAUUUAGCUUUAAUUAUCCAUUUUGCUAAGCUAAUGGACUCAAUGUCAAAAAUCCAUGGAAUUCAGAAAAUAACCGGCCUUACAAGAGGAAAAUUUUCAGAGCUUUAAGGUUGUAACAGAGGUUGUUCUGUCUGG